AAAGCUAACGAUGUAGAAACUAAAAUUAGAACAAUACAGAGAAGAUUAGCAUGGCCUCCGUGUAAGAGAACACAUGAAAAUUUGUAAAGCAUUCCAUAUUUUU